rnacentral:rRNA from 1 species
UACGUAGGGGGCUAGCGUUGUCCGGAAUCAUUGGGCGUAAAGCGCGUGUAGGCGGUCCGGUAAGUCCGCUGUGAAAGUCGGGGGCUCAACCCUCGGAUGCCGGUGGAUACUGUCGGGCUUGAGUACGGAAGAGGAGAGUGGAAUUCCUGGUGUAGCGGUGAAAUGCGCAGAUAUCAGGAAGAACACCCGUGGCUAAGGCGGCGCGCGAGUACGGUACUGACGCUGAGACGCGAAAGCGUGGGGAGCGAACAGG